rfam:Picea glauca, whole genome shotgun sequence.
UACAACAUAGCAUUAAUGUAAUAAAUCCCAUAAGAACUUUGUAGUUAAGCACACUCAAGCUAGAGUAGUAAUGGGAUUGGUUACCACCCAAGAAGUCCCAAUGUUUUAC